AUUGAACGCUGGCGGCAUGCCUUACACAUGCAAGUCGAACGGCAGCACGGGAGCAAUCCUGGUGGCGAGUGGCGAACGGGUGAGUAAUAUAUCGGAACGUGCCCAGUCGUGGGGGAUAACGUAGCGAAAGCUACGCUAAUACCGCAUACGAUCUAUGGAUGAAAGCGGGGGAUCGCAAGACCUCGCGCGAUUGGAGCGGCCGAUAUCAGAUUAGGUAGUUGGUGAGGUAAAGGCUCACCAAGCCGACGAUCUGUAGCUGGUCUGAGAGGACGACCAGCCACACUGGGACGGAGACACGGCCCAGACUCCUACGGGAGGCAGCAGUGGGGAAUUUUGGACAAUGGGCGCAAGCCUGAUCCAGCAAUGCCGCGUGCAGGAUGAAGGCCUUCGGGUUGUAAACUGCUUUUGUACGGAGCGAAAAGGCUUCCACUAAUACUGGGGGCUCAUGACGGUACCGUAAGAAUAAGCACCGGCUAACUACGUGCCAGCAGCCGCCGUAAUAC
rnacentral:rRNA from 1 species